UGGGGAGUAGCCAAGUGGCAAGGCAUCGGUCUUUGGAUCCGACAUUCGAAGGUUCGAACCCUUCCUCCCCAGCCA
rnacentral:tRNA from 1 species